UUAAUCUGCCCUUAGGACAGACAUAACCUUGGGAAACUGAGGUUAAUAUCUGAUAGGUGGAAACGCCUGGAAUGGUCUUCCGCUUAAAGGUUCCUGGAAACAUGCUUCUAAGAAUGCCUAAGGAUGAGACUGCGGCCGAUCAGGCUGUUGGUGAGGUAACGGCUCACCAAACCUAUAACCGGUACGGGCCCUGAGAGGGGGAGCCCGGAGAUGGGAACUGAGACAAGGUCCCAGGCCCUACGGGGCGCAGCAGGCGCGAAACCUCCACAAUGCGCGAAAGCGUGAUGGGGUUACCCCGAGUGCCGUCCGUUGAGGAGGGCUUUUCCCCAGUGUAAGGAGCUGGGGGAAUAAAGGGGGGGCAAGACUGGUGUCAGCCGCCGCGGUAAUACCAGCCCCCUGAGUUAUAGGGACGAUUAUUUAGCCUAAAGCGUUCGUAGCCGGCUUUGCAAGUCUUUCGUUAAAUCUAACGACUCAAUCGUUAGGCCGCGGAAGAUACUGCUAGGCUUGAGGGCGGGAGAGGUCGACGGUAGUCCCGGGGUAGGGGUGAAAUCCAAUAAUCCCGGGAGGACCACCAGUGGCGAAGGCGGUCGACCAGAACGCGCCUGACGGUGAUGGACGAAAGCUGGGGGAGCGAACCGGAUUAGACACCCGGGUAGUCCCAGCUGUAAACGAUGCGAGCUAGGUGUUGGGGUAGCUACGAGCUGCUCCAGUGCCGCAGAGAAGUCGUUAAGCUCGCCGCUUGGGGAGUACGGCCGCA
rnacentral:rRNA from 1 species